AGCGGACAAGGAAGCUUGUUGCAGCCGUUUAUUUACUACAGGUUUCUUACGCUCCGUUACUCUUCCCGGAGAAAUCCUUACUGCCGGACCCUCUUCACAGAGCUGAGGAUUGUGGUGGAGCAUCUCGUAAUGAAGCCUUCUUGCCCGCUGUUUCUGCGAAGACUCUGCGUGAGCAGUAUUUCUUUUAUAAGCAGACUGGCCCCCACAGUGGCAUAGCCCACCCUGGAAACCUCCGCGAGCGUUAAAUCUUGUGUCGUACAAUAGGGUUUGCGUGGCGUGAUCUCAUUAAUGCCGCGACGCAAAAAAUGGUUCCUUCAAACCAAGGGACGGUGUCAGGCAGUGCUGUCUGGAUCGGGUCUUAACCAGCUGUGAUUUGGUAUUUCCUGGGCUUUUUGCAUUCGAAAUACCUUCCGACGCGGUACAUUUGAGUCAGUAUUCCUUCGCUGAAUAAAUGGAAGUCCAUUCAGUUAUCCCAAUCAGCAUGAAGCACCUGCUCUGAGCAGGUCCAAACGUUUUCACUCUGCUCUUCUGAUUUGUUCAAUGCCUUCCUCCAGCGAUCUCUUGAUUUUUCUUGGUCCAUAUUUCUUUAGGCUACCCGAAGGCCGUCCGCCGUCGGCUCUCUUCUGAAACUGGGAUUCUUAAAAAAAAAAUUAAAAAAUGCCAAUCUGUGAAACCUUAGAAUAAUAAAGAUGGAUGUUAUAACCUUUA